CGGGCUUGGGACUAGAGCCUCAGGGCCAUUGGUGUACGUGCCUAGGCAACGUGUCAUUUCAACAAGCUAAAAUAGCUUUCCCUUAAAAGGACUGCACCAAUAUGAACGACACUGACCUCAAUUGAAAGUGAGUGAAGCUUGCAGAUGAGAUGACGGACUUGAAGCUCGUGGACGACUUAAAGAUUGUGGACAAUGAAUCUAGGAAAGAAGAGCCAAUGGUGAAUGGUGAGUGACAGACUGUAGCUCGUGAGGACCGGGUGAGGAGUGAUGAGGACCGGGGGAGCGGCGAAGACCGGAAGCUACGCGGCCGAGGAUCAGGCGAGUGGCAAAUACUG
rnacentral:lncRNA from 1 species